CCGAGUUUACAACUCCCAAACCCAAUGUGAACGUUACCAAACUGUUGCCUCGGCGGGAUCUCUGCCCCGGGUGCGUCGCAGCCCCGGACCAAGGCGCCCGCCGGAGGACCAACCAAAACUCUUAUUGUAUACCCCCUCGCGGGCUUUUUACUAUCUGAGCCAUCUCGGCGCCCCUCGUGGGCGUUUCGAAAAUGAAUCA
rnacentral:misc_RNA from 1 species